rnacentral:rRNA from 1 species
UACGUAGGGGGCUAGCGUUGUCCGGAAUCAUUGGGCGUAAAGAGCGCGUAGGCGGCCAGAUAAGUCCGGUGUGAAAGUCACAGGCUCAACCUGUGAAUGCCGCUGGAAACUGUCUGGCUAGAGUCCGGGAGGGGCGAGUGGAAUUCCUGGUGUAGCGGUGAAAUGCGCAGAUAUCAGGAGGAACACCGAUGGCGAAGGCAGGUCUCUGGGCCACUACUGACGCUGAGAAGCGAAAGCAUGGGGAGCGAACAGG